UACGGAGGGUGCAAGCGUUAUCCGGAUUCACUGGGUUUAAAGGGUGCGUAGGUGGGUUGGUAAGUCAGUGGUGAAAUCUCCAGGCUUAACUUGGAAACUGCCAUUGAUACUAUCAAUCUUGAAUACCGUGGAGGUCAGCGGAAUAUGUCAUGUAGCGGUGAAAUACAUAGAGAUGUCAUAGAACACCGAUUGCGAAGGCAGCUGACGAAACUAUAACUGACACUGAGGCUCGAAAGUGCGGGGAUCAAACAGG
rnacentral:rRNA from 1 species